AUUUUGCAAACAUUUUGGGAACGCUUGAAACACAUAGUAACGUUUAAAAAACACUUAACAAACGUCAAGCUAAAACAUAAAAAUACUUAAAAACGUGCCUAAAUAACAUUUUCGGCAAGUUAUUAAAACCCAUUUAUCUUUGAACGAACGUUCUAUUAACAUUCCUGGAAGAACGUUUGUUCCAAAAAACUGUCAGAAUGUUAGCUAAAGUUCUGUGAACGUUUCCUGUAAGUUGGGCAGUAACUGAAACAUAGCAACGUAAAUAAACUUCUCACUGCUUUUUGUUUUGUAAUAUUUAGAAAACAGAGAACCAAGUCUAGAAUUUAUGAAUAUAGGAUAUGUUACUUUUGAAGGGUAAGACUCAAAAUAUAUAGUCUACUAAAAAGGUGUAAUAUUUAAAUACCAUGUCCUUUCAUCGUUGUGAUUUGAGGCAUUUAUAAUAAUAAAAAUAAAACAAAACGAAGACGCUUUCCAUAUGAAACUGGCAACAACAACAAAAAAAGUAUCUCCUCUCCGCUAGAUGUCGACAAACCGCUUGGGCGUGUGACGUCAUCGACGUGCGCCGAGCUCUGCCUGCGACCAUAACAACGCCAGAUAACCCUCACUUUUAUCGAUAUCAGCGAUAGUGCGAUAUUGAUAGGAAUUUAUUCGCACAGCCUCAAAGGUCCUGCACACCUCGUCCCUGAGACCGACACACGACAUUUUUCAGUGUGCAGAUUAGAAAAGUGCAUCCACAGAAUUCCAUUUCCAAGAUCCAGCGUCUGCGCCUCGAUGGAGGAGUGCUGCUAGAAACCCAGAACGGGUGGAGAGGCUCCCGGGAGGAAUGGGGUAGAGUUCUCGAUGAGGGUCCCGGCAGCAAACAGCUCCGUUAGAGCAGAAUCAGGCGAGAUGCCUGAGAACGGACGCUCCAGGAGGAAACGGGUGCCGAAGACAUGCGACUGCUGCGGGCCCCACGGCAAGUCCCUCGCCCCGGGACACCAGCAGGUGUCCAAGAAACGCGGCCGCAGGAAGAAAGAGAUGCUGAGCCAAGAAGAAGAAGUGGCGGCGGAGGAGGAGGUGGUGAGCUCGGCGGCGGUGGACUCGGUGGUGACUUUGGAAGCGGACGCCGCUUCUGAGAUGGACGAGGCUCCGUCUCCUAAAGAGAAGCCAGAGCUUUCUCAGACUGAGAGAGGGAGUGAAAGCACCGUCCUGGUGAACGGCUUGGAGAACAGCGUUCCCAGCGACACCAGAGAGCUGAGCAGCUCUGCCACACACAAUGACUUGAUGAAAAAACCCCGCACAGAGCCGGAUGCAAUGGAAACCGCGAUGCCCGGUCUGAGCGCUUCCUGGGACCAUCACUACUGCAGACCCCUCGCUGAGGAGCACAGGAGCGACUCCACGGAGGAGACGGGACAGCCGCCUGCACUGCCUCCGGUUGAGUUCACCACUGAGGGCAUCAUCGAGUGCAUUCAUGAAUUCCUCGAGCAGUUCUACGGGAAAUACGGAAGCUUCACUCCGUUGAGUGAGACCGACGUCCUCGAUCACCUAAAUAAGAUGUUCCAGUCUGAUCUAAAUGACAGGCAAGUUUAA
ensembl:lncRNA